GUGCUCACUUCGGCAGAACAUACACUAAAAUUGCAAUGAUACACAGAAGAUUAGCAUGGACCCUGGGCAAGGAUGACACACAAAUUCAUGAAGCAUUCUGUAUUUUU